AAACCGCGAAAGGCUCAUUAAAUCAGUUAUGGUUCSUUAGAUCGUACCCACAAUUACUUGGAUAACUGUGGUAAUUCUAGAGCUAAUACAUGCAAACAGAGCUCCGACCGGAGACGGAAGGAGUGCUUUUAUUAGAUCAAAACCAAUCGGUGGCGGGUUCGCUCGUUAUCGUACAACUUGGUGACUCUGAAUAACUUUUCGCUGAUCGCACGGUCAUCGCACCGGCGACGCAUCUUUCAAAUGUCUGCCUUAUCAACUGUCGAUGGUAGGUUCUGCGCCUACCAUGGUUGUAACGGGUAACGGGGAAUCAGGGUUCGAUUCCGGAGAGGGAGCCUGAGAAACGGCUACCACAUCCAAGGAAGGCAGCAGGCGCGCAAAUUACCCACUCCCGGCACGGGGAGGUAGUGACRAAAAAUAACGAUACGGGACUCAUCCGAGGCCCCGUAAUCGGAAUGARUACACUCUAAACCCUUUAACGAGGAUCAAUUGGAGGGCAAGUCUGGUGCC
rnacentral:rRNA from 1 species